rnacentral:rRNA from 1 species
UACGUAGGGUGCGAGCGUUGUCCGGAUUUAUUGGGCGUAAAGGGCCCGUAGGCGGCGUGUCGCGUCGGGAGUGAAAGCCCGCUGCUUAACGGCGGGUUGGCUUCCGGUACGGGCAUCGCUGGAGUGCGGCAGGGGAGACUGGAAGUUCCUGGUGUAGCGGUGGAAUGCGUAGAGAUCCGGAAGAACACCGGUGGCGAAGGCGGUCUGCUGGGGUAAUGCUGACACUGAGGCGCGACAGCGUGGGGAGCAACAGG